CAACGUGCUACAGUCCGGGACAUUUCUAUUUGGACAUAAAAAAUUUGAAUUUUCUGACAUUUAUACGUGUAUUCAGCGUCUGUGUGAACAAAAAAUGUUCUCUCUCUCAUUCUAUGGUCCUUGAGCUUUAAUAACAGGGACAUUUUUUAAAUUGGUAGCAUUAGAAAAUGACAGUAAACAGCUGACUGAUGUAAACAAUAACACAAUAACAAAGGAAAUGUUAUAAUUUUAAUCUAUAUAACCAGUGGCUGCUUUAAAAGUAGAAACAUUACUUGUCAUAUAACAACUACUCAGAUUAUAUGAUGAGACGGGAAUGGCACAAUACAGAAUUGCAGUCAGUGAUUGUGAUGGAGAAAGCUGCUGUGAAGUACUGACAGUACUGACUAUCGCUGGUUGUACGAUUUGUGCAAUUUGUGAUAUAUUUUGUGUGAAAAACUGGAAAAGAAAGUGCAUCACUGCAUAACCUCACUUAUCGCAGUUUUGCACAUUUUGAUGAUGGGAAUUGCGGUUCAAGUAAUUAUGAGUUAUAGAUGGAGAGCCCUGUUUACUUCAAACUGAAGCCUUUUGGGUCCACUUUGUUCGUUAUUUCCUGGCAGCCACUCUUGUUUCAAGCAGAGUGGGUGUAAAGUUAAAAAUAAUCCCGUAAAAUUGUUAAUAUAACUCCUUUGCACUGCCAUGGGGUAUUUGAAAACUUACGUUUAACAAAUACGUCACAAAGUCUCAGCCAUCGUCGAAAAACAUAAUAAGGGCUUUAUAACAAGAAGCGCUUUCUGAUUUUACUGUGGACGUGUGGAAGAAUAGUGUGAAAUAUUGCGAAAAACCAACUUUUACUCUUGUUUACAUUUUUGUACGUCUCUAUCUGAGAGUAGUUUCUUGUAUAAAAAAUAUAGCCUACUAAUAAAGGAAAUUAAAGUGUUUUUAUUUCUGGGUUGCCCCCAAUUCCACUUCGCCCUUGCCUGAUAAUCAAGACACUGAUAAUGAAAUUGGUGUAAGUGCAUCGAAUACAAACGUGUUGAAUAGAUGAAUAAAAGAGAGACAACUGCUUUUUUCAAAAAGGCCAUUUCAAAUUUAUUCAAAAAGCACACCCCCAUUGAAAAGGGUCCAUUCACGAUGAAGUUUGGCUUCCUGCAUGACGUAGGUCUCGGACACCAAUCUCGCUGUAAAUGGUCUAAAUUGGUCUUGCAUCUCUAAGACAUGGACUCACUGAGAGCGACUUCUGCAGUAGGCUUGAGACCUGCCUGCCUGUCUCGCAACAAUCUCUGCAUUAUGAUUCCAAAUCAUUCUAUAAAACGCUGUCAAUUACAAGCCAUGUUAUGAGGCAUGAGGCCGUCUCAGUGUAUGUCUUGUGGUGUACAUUGAAACUGUUUCUUAAAGAACCCAUUCACAAUGAGAUCUGCUUCGCUACAUGCGGCGCGACAGGACUCAGACUAAUCCUCAAAGACACAAAAAAAACUGACACAGUUUAUCAUUUUAAGCCAUUGACAGCGUUUUCGAAUGUUGGUGCAAAGACUUGUCGCGAGGCAUGUUUUAGCCUUCCGCCAACGUCAGUCUGAGUGAAACCCUCUCAAAGUGAUCUCAGCGAAAACCACUCACAAUGAGAUUGACCUAUGAGGCCUAUGUCGUGCCGCAUGCAGCGAGAUAUGUCUCAUUGUUAAUGAAAAUAGGGCCUUUUUUGUUGUUUAAAGUCGUUUUUUAAAACUUUUGUGGCAAAUUUUACUGAUGUGGCAGAGAGGGGGCAUGCAAUUGGAACAUGACGAAGACUACCCUAAAAGGCACUUAGAGGCUUUUAUGGCCUUUUUAAUGCAAAUUUCAACUUUAAACCUGACAGUCAUACCAAGGUCAAACAUAACCUCAACAGUAAUCCAGCAACGGUACUUCAAAGCAUUUGAAAGUUUCUCCAUUUGUUUUUAAGUGUUCUAGUUGGUACAUUUUGCUGUACUUUACUACAAUAAAGAAAUAUUUAAAUUUU